UUUAAAUGUAAAUUUUUAAACUAAAUUAUUAAUAGUUAUGUUCUUUAAAGUUAAAGAAUUUGGCGGUAUUUUAGUCUAUUUAGAGGAACCUGUUCUGUAAUCGAUGGUCCACGAUUAAUUCUACUUAAUUUAAUAGUUUAUAUAUCGUCGUAGUUUGAAUAUUUUAAUAGAAUUUAAAUGUUCAAGAUUCUUUAUUAAGAAGGAAAUCAGAUCAAGGUGUAGCUUAUAGUUAAGAAGAAAUGGGUUACAAUAAAUUUAUUUAUAUGGAUUAGAUAUUUGAAAAAUACUAAACAAAGUGGAUUUAAAAGUAAUAAAGUUAAAUUAAAUUUUAUGAUUUUAGCUCUAGAAUAUGU
rnacentral:rRNA from 1 species